rnacentral:lncRNA from 1 species
GGGCAGUAGUAACAAGUAUGCUUAAAAAAAAAUGAAGUGAAAAGUAAAAACCCAAACUCAUUUGUUCCACAUAAAUAAUUGAUGCUGUGGUCACUGACAUUAACCGCUACAUAUUUACAUUGCAAACAUUACAAUGUGCCAUGUUCCAUGUCCCACAUUAGGGUCCAGAUGGAAGAACAAUGUUACAAAAUAAUGAUGUUGUGUUUGGAUCUCAUAGAACCUACUCCUUAGAAAUGUGCAUAUUUGUUUGUUAAUUAAUAUUAUGUGUUACUUUAAAGAGUAUGUGGCUUAAGCGUUCUCUCAUAUUAAUUAUUUUAUUUAUCAGACCUGUUCUGUAAAACUUCAUUUGAGGAUUUACUUUUUAACUAAAUAAAACUAAUAGUUUUUGCUAGAAGACCACACACACCAUAUAAAAUGUACUCAAGUCUGGGGUGUUUUUUGUCAACAGACUUCAAAAGAACAUAUCAUAUAAUUUGUAAUACCACAGACUAAAAUCUCUUUUGGGCUUAGAUUUAUGUAAAUGGCAAAGGAAAACAUAUGUGUUAAUUUUUAGUUGUUUCUGUUUGCCAAUUAUCUGUCUUCUAGGAUGGCUUUAAUAAAUAAUAACAGUGCAUGGAAAAUAUCUUCCACUGCUUACUUUAGAACAAAAUGACUGCUUUGUUUUUAUGAACUUAUUCUGUUGGAGCUGACAUUUUUGUAUUUCAAAAUUCAAAAUGCAAUUGUUCAAUAUAUUUUCAUUUUAACUUUAUCAUACUUAUAUGUGGCUAUAUAUUUUUAUAAUCUUUUUUUCUGGUUAUACAAACAAAAUUACUUAAAGUAAGAGUCCUCAAGAUGAAUAUAGGUAUUAAAGGCAAAAUUGAUUAAGGAAGAAGAGUGGGAGUAAAGGAAAGAAGAACGUGGAAGAGACAGGAAAGAGGAGGAAAGGAAGAAAAGAGGAUAGGAAGGGAGGGAGAGAAAAAAAGGAAGAUGGGGCAAAGGAAGGGGAAGGAAGGAGAGGAGGAAGGAAAGAGAAGAAAAGAGGGAGGGAGGAAAGGAAGGAAAGGAGGGAGAGUGGGAGGAGGGAGGAGGAAGAGGGAGGAAAUAAUAAAAGAAGGGACACUGAGAGAUGAAAGGAUGAAAGAAAAUGAGACAGAGGAAAAGGAGUAACAAUGCCUAAAGUAACCUGCACCACAUAUGACAAUCCAUGAUUGUGUUUCUCAAACUUGCUAUCUUUGCAUCCUGAAAUGCUUCUAAGGACCUCCUUCCUUCCUGGGCUGAGACAGUAUUACCAAGCGUUAAGAUGCUGACCCCAUCAAGCUCUUGUAGUAAUUAAGCAGCCGUGGCCUGGCAGCUGCAUCUGAGUGACAGGUCUAGGGGUGGGGUAUUCCUGAAGCCAUGGUCUGUUAUCAUCUGGGUCCAGCGGGUCAGAGGUGGUAAAGAGCAUGGUCCACCAGCAGUUCCCUGCGCUGUGUCUGGUGGCUCUGUCAAUACACUCUUGUCUCCAAGGUUAUCAGGCUUUUGUUUUUCAGAGACAACUGAAAAAGAUAGCCACUGGGGUCUGUUCUAGCCCAUCUGCCAUCAUCUGUGAUUCCAAUGAUGCAUUCCUCCUUCAGCUUGUCAAUGAAGUGUGUUCACAGAGACCAAGUCCACACUAAUGUUUUUAGCAUGUUUAAUAGAGUUUUGUUAAGUAAACAUCCUCCACGAAACCAGCGCAAGAGUGGAAAAUAAACAGAGCUACUGUGCCAAGUUCAUAAUGACUUACACAUUUAGCACUUUGCCCCUCUUCUAAGCAAGGCCAUUAAAACCAGAUUUGUGUGUUUAGUGUAAUUUUUCUAAAGCCAUAGCUGUCCAGUUAUUAUAGGCCUUACACAUACUUGAGCAGCACCUUUUUCCUCCUCUCUUCUCCUCAGCUUCAUUAAAAAUGGAUUUUGUUUCCAAACAUUUAUGUCCAGGUGGCUUGUGAUAAUUCUGUGUCAACAACUUAGAUCUGUAGAUUUUCCUUCGACAUUACUGGUUCUUACAGAGUCAGCUGUUUACUAAGCCUAGCUAAAAUGUCUAAAUCAAGUUCUCUUUGGGAGAGUAUGAGGAUUUUCAUAUUCCAAACUAGAAGGGAAGCAUGGUUAAUUUUUUUCAAGUCCAGUACAAUGGCCAACAAAAUUAUAUUUUUUAUAAAAAAUAAUAGUAGAAAAUUAUAUGAGUUUCAGAGAAAGAUAACCCUAAAAAUCUUGCCUUCUCUUAUAAUCUCUCCUUUCCUUGUCAUCAGUGGCUGCGUAGUUAUGGUGAGAAAUGUAACUACUUUGACAGAUUGCUUUUAAAACUGGAGGCAUUGAUAAUACAAUUGACUGAUAGUUAUCUGUGCAGUAGUUUAUUCCUAUAUUGUUUAAAUCUGCCGCAUAUUUCCCUUUCUUUUUAGAUAUCAUUAUUCAUAUCCCUACAAAUGCCUUGUGGACUUGAAGUAUUUCUCCCACAUGUAUCUAGGAAUUUUUAUUCCUGAAUAAACCUUAACAGUCUGUUCUCAUCCCAGUAGACACAGAUUAAGCUUAGAGAUUCAUGGCUGAUUGACAUGGAGUUAGCACAAAGAUUGAGGGACUGUCCUCCUGGGUCAGUGUUGAAUUGUUUUGUUUAACAGCAUCAUUAGGGAACUGGAAAAAGGGAAGUAAGUAGCAUGGACAGCGUCUCCAGAUGAGAAAUGAAGAUGAACUUUACAUUUCUAGCAGUGGAGAGU